UGUGUGGUGGUAAACGGAGGCGUUCUCGAAGUGUCCGUGGGGGACUCAAGCUUGGUGGCGGGCAGCCGGCGCUCCUUGAUCAGCAAUGACUGGGUGUGUCGUGCAGGCUUGCCUCCCGGCCGCACUUUCCCCGCGGUUGACGGCAGGAACUGUUGGGACCGGACCAAAGGCCUGGGAGAAGUUGCUUGCCCUCACGGGCUUGUAGCUCCCGGUGUCCUGGCUUCGGGCCCGACGGGGUAUGAGUGGACUUGUAUAGCAAGCGACAGCCUGUUGCGGUUCACAUCUCUCUGCCGAGUAGGUCGGCG
rnacentral:rRNA from 1 species